UUAUCCCAGUAUAUGGUCUGUAUAAGCUUCCAUGUGCUGCUGAGUAGAAUGUAUAUUCUUUGGUGUUUGGGUAGAAUAUUCUGUAGACAUCUUCUAGGUUUAUUUCAUUUAAUCUUGAAGUUUCUCUGUUUUAUUUUUUGUCCAGAUGAAUGACUGUCUUUUGGAGAGAGUGAGGUGUUGAAAUCACCUGUCAUCAGAUGCUCCAGAAACCUGGAGGAAGAGUCUCCAUGAUAAUGCCUGCCACGUCUAAUGCUCAGAAGGUCAGCUGGACCCUGCGUGUCAUCGUUCUGCUUUACCACGCAUGCACUGAGAAGCUCAAGCUUUCCCAAGACUACUGGCUUGUGCCUCAGGAGACACUGUGACAUGCAAUACCUGUACUGAAUUUUGGAGGAAGUACGUAUGUUGGAAAGGCAUGGACCUCUAUUUUAAGACCUCUUUAAAAGAACUCUACUGUGGAAGCCUUUCUGCAUAGAAGAGGAUGGAAUGCCAGACGGGAGGUCAGAAUACAAAGAGGGUGGGAAUCUGAUGAUAAAAUUUUGGGAGCUUUUAUCCUAAGGUUUCUUAUUUGCAGUGAAUUUAAUUCAUUCAUUACCAUUAAGUUGAUUGAUAACAAUCAUAGUUAAACGAGACUCUCCCUCAUGAAUUCAAUGCAUUUAUUUAGUCAUUUAUAAAACCCUCUGGAUGACCUGUUGACAAGCCAUUUGAUGAGAUGCUGCCAUUAUAAAGAUGAGUAGAGUAAGCCUGGUCCCAUCCAUCUGGAGCUACCAGUGUAUGAGAAGAUUAGGCAUGGAAAAUAUCUUCAGUUGCAGUAGACCAACGUGCCAAGAACUAGACCACCAUAUAAAGCUUAAAGGCUAAUUUACUCAACCAGAAUGUAUUGAGAAUGGGCCUUAUGUAAAGUGUAGCAUAAGAUCACAGCAAUGCUUCUAGAGACACACAGCACAGUUGGUGAUGUAAUUAUGCACAUAUCCGCUCAUAUGUAAUCAGUGGCUGUAGUUCAGAGCAGUGUAAAAUUAUGUGUUGAUUACUGUAGCAAGUAGAGCAAUGUUUCUUAGAGGCCCUUUCAGGGUCCUUCAGAGAGGAGACUUCCAUAGACAGACCUAAAUAAAACCCAUCUGUAAAGCAUGCAGAAGUUGAGACUGAAAAGGGGUAGGAAAAAAGUAAAAAAAAAUUUCUUUUUGACCCAAAGUCACUCUUUUCACAUCAUUCCAUAACAUGUUCUAUCCUGAAACUAAAUUCUGGUAUAACACACCAUGUAAUGCAUAUGUUAGAAAACUACAUUAUAUCACAUAAAGAUACAAUUCCAUACACUUUAGAAGAGAAUGAAAGGUUUUAUAGAAUGCAUAUUUCAAUCUAUAAUGCUUGAACAGCAGGUGGCCAAAGUUAUAGCAGACAUUUGCACUGAACCAAGUUAGACAGAGUCGAGAAGCAAAUUACAUGCUGUGUUGAAAGAUCAGAGGUGCAGCAGAGACUAGGGAAAAGCCCGACCACCAAACUGCUACUGCGGUAAAUAACGGCGGCUGGAGCAGUCUGUGAAUAAUGAAAGAUGGAAAUGGUCUUACCUGUAGGGAUACCAUGUCUAGACAAAUUAUAGAUUGUUGGAGGGUGAAAAUGAGGAAGCAAGAAGUCUUGCAAAGAACUUGCUCUUAUUUUGUGAACAUAUGUUUAAAUAAUUCCCUGUGUUCUGAGGGAUGGAGGGGAGACAGGGUAUUCCAGAAAGCAUCUUUUACCUUGAAAUCACAUGUUGAAGUGCACUAUUCUGAUUCUGAUACCUGAGAGAACCACAGAGACUGUAUUUUUGAAAGUCAGCAGGAAGUUGUAGAGCUGUGGGACAAAGAUCAGGAAAGAGAAAUUUUGUGUUAGAUGUGCAAAUGAUAGGAUCAAAAGGGUAGAAAAUGUGAGAUCAAAAAACAAUAGGCAAUUACAAAUAACUUUGAAUAAUAAAUUUCACAUGUCACAAAUUUAAGCCAGUGGGAUUAUUAGUAAUAUGACGAGGACACUUCAUUUUUAUGGGUAUCAAAGAACACUAACAUUGUCUCUUAAUUUUUCUAAGAAAUGUUUGCCUGAGUACACGUGGUGUGAAGGGAAUGUGUACUGCUGUUCAGGGGUGCUGCUGAUACUGUCACUGUGUCACAACAGUGAGCAGCUCCUGGGAGUCUGAGUGAAAACAGCCCAGUCCUCCCAUGGCCGCAAGAGAGGAGUUGUUCAAACCCAGCUGUCUCCGUGGACCGUGGUUGUAGCAUCAUUGCAGUGAGUGUUCUCUUUAGACAUGCCAUCCCCAGAUCACAUGCUCGUUUGAGUCAAAUAGGCCACUGUUCCUCAGGCAACGGAAUGAGCAAGCUAGGACUAGAGAAUCUGCCAGGAUUUCUGUCCAGGGAAGUCUUGUUGUCUUCUGAUGACAUGAACCUUAGCCAUGUCUAAGAUAAAAAUACAAAUUCACCUGGGACAGCUGAUCACAUUUAUCUGUGACUUCUCAAGUUUUGGAUUAGUUUUCUCCAUUAGUGUUAGGUCUUUUCCGUAUGCAGACUAUAGUAGUUUAUGGAAACUUGAACUAUUGCAGUACUUUGGAGAAAGUGCUGGGAAAAGUGCUUCCUGUUGUUCAUGCAUGCAUAAGCUAUUCUCACCAUCCAGCAUGGAUACAUACCAAGGGCCCUUUCGUGGCAGAGUUACUCCUUUUCCUUGCAGUAUAGUGUUAAGAAAUUUAUUUUUAACGAAGAAAAAUAUCAAGAAAAAUGGGUAUAUCAAGAAAAAUGAUCUUUUUAUAGUAUUUCUUUGCAUGGUCUAUCAGAAACAAGUAUAUAAUAAACAUCUUUUGAUUGGUUGAUGGACAGACUUGUACAGAUUGGGUGGCUUCUGUGCUGGAUGUUUCCUGGCCUUUCAUUGGCUGGGUUUUGUUUGCAGAUAUUUUUGGCCAGCAGGGGGCGUCCAAGGUCCAUAUUUGGAUCAAAGAACAACAACAACCAAACCGGGCCAAGGCAACUGCUAGAGAAAUACAACUCUCAGGAAGGGGGACAUUGAACUCGGCAAGAGGCUUGCUUUGUGUCUUUAAAUACAGUAUUGAUUUCUAUGGUGCUAAGUUUAUACCGUGGGAGUAGGAUAUUAGAGGAAAAUUCUGGGUUUUGUUUGUGACAUAAAGAACUUCAGAAAUGUUUAAAGAGGAAAAUAAAGAUUACCCAGAACCAACUUAAACUCAAAUUCAUAUAUCGCUAAUUUUAUUUUUAAAUGCAUAAUAUAUGGAAUGUAAGCUUCUCAGAGAAUUAAAGUAAAAAUUGUUAAAUUUUAUCAUGUAUCUAGUUACACCAGUAUCCAGUUUUUACUGGCAAUAAUAAUUAAGUUGUUCGAUUAAUGAUGCAAGAAUCAAAUUAUACUGAAUCCAAUACUUUUAUGAUUAUUUAAUAUUAGCAUUGUAUCAUAUUUUCUUGUUAUAUUUAAUAGCUACAUAGUUCAUUAAUUAUAAAAUCAGUUUUAUUAAUAAAACAUUCAUCAUAUGUUUUGGUCCCAAAUAGUUAUUAGUUAAAGAUUUUUAUUUCAUUGCUCUGGAAUAAGACUUAGAUAUAGAUGACUUAUUUAUUAUUAGUUUAUUAAAAAGUUACAACUUCAAAGGAAAACUUUUUAUUGGUUCUUGGUGAGUUUCACAUCAUGCCCUCCAAUCCCACUCAUCUCUCUGUCCCUCCAUCUCUGCCCUCUGUCCUUGCAGCCUUCCCCCAAAGGAAAAGAAUACAAACAAAAAGAAACAUUUUGCUGUGAAAGCUGUGGUGCUGUGUCACAGUAUGAAGCACAGUGUAUCCUUGUGCCCACACAGCUUUACUUGCAAGCCUUCAUUGCAUUAAGUCACUGGUCUCCUUCCAGGCCUCUGGCUUCUGCUACACCAUUAAUCCUGGAUCCUCACCAGGACUCCUCUCGGAUAUCUUGAUAUUGCCCUGUGUCAUGGAGACCCUGCAGCUUUGGGAAUGCAGGACCAGCCUCUUCACGCACUCCAGCAGUUCAUAGAUGAGAUAGAU
rnacentral:sRNA from 1 species